rnacentral:rRNA from 1 species
UACAGGGGGUGCAAACGUUGCUCGGAAUCAUUGGGCGUAAAGCGCACGUAGGCGGUCUGUUUAUGUCGGAUGUGAAAGCCCUCGGCUCAACUGAGGAAGUGCAUCCGAAACUGGCAGGCUAGAGUACUAAAGAGGGUCGCGGAAUUCCCGGUGUAGAGGUGAAAUUCGUAGAUAUCGGGAGGAACACCGGUGGCGAAGGCGGCGACCUGGGUAGAUACUGACGCUGAGGUGCGAAAGCGUGGGGAGCAAACAGG